rnacentral:lncRNA from 1 species
AAGCAUGAUGUGUCUGUAUCUUUAUUGCAGGAAAAUGAAUCUUGUUAUGUGAGGGCACUGAGGAGGAAACAGUCCCCAGCUACCAAGAGGAAGAAAGGCCGGUGGGAAAUACACAGAUCGAGGGAUUUUAAUGGCUUUCAGGUAGA